GUGGGGAAUUUUGCGCAAUGGGGGAAACCCUGACGCAGCGACGCCGCGUGGGUGAAGAAGGCCUUCGGGUUGUAAAGCCCUGUCAGCAGGGAAAAAGGAUUUCGUGCUAACACCACGAAGUUUUGAUGGUACCUGCAGAGGAAGCACCGGCUAACCCUGUGCCAGCAGCCGCGGUAAUACAGGGGGUGCUAGCGUUGUUCGGAAUUACUGGGCGUAAAGGGCGUGUAGGCGGCAUAGCAAGUCAGAUGUGAAAUCCCGGGGCUUAACUCCGGAACUGCAUUUGAAACUGCUAAGCUAGAGUAGAGUAGAGGCUAGCGGAAUUCCCAGUGUAGAGGUGAAAUUCGUAGAUAUUGGGAAGAACACCAGUGGCGAAGGCGGCUAGCUGGGCUCUAACUGACGCUAAAGCGCGAAAGCGUGGGGAUCAAACAGGAUUAGAAACCCCGGUAGUCC
rnacentral:rRNA from 1 species